CUGGCUCAGGAUGAACGCUAGCUACAGGCUUAACACAUGCAAGUCGAGGGGCAUCAUGAUCAAAGUUGCUUUGAUUGAUGGCGACCGGCGCACGGGUGAGUAACGCGUAUCCAACCUUCCCCCCAGUAGGGCAUAGCCCGGCGAAAGUCGGAUUAAUACCCUAUGUUUUCCAAUGAGGACAUCUGAGCUGGAACAAAGAUUUAUCGCUGGGGGAUGGGGAUGCGUCCGAUUAGGUUGUUGGCGGGGUAACGGCCCACCAAGCCCGCGAUCGGUAGGGUUCUGAGAGGAAGGUCCCCCACACUGGUACUGAGACACGGACCAGACUCCUACGGGAGGCAGCAGUGAGGAAUAUUGGUCAAUGGGCGUAAGCCUGAACCAGCCAAGUAGCGUGCAGGACGACGGCCUAUGGGUUGUAAACUGCUUUUAUGCGGGGAUAAAGUGAGGUAUGUAUACCUUUUUGUAGGUACCGCAUGAAUAAGGACCGGCUAAUUCCGUGCCAGCCGCUGC
rnacentral:rRNA from 1 species